AGCUUUCUCCUGGAACCAUCGUCAUAAACCAAUCAACUCUUUGAGAAUGGAUGGAGAAGACAACAUCAAGAAGGCCAUGGCUGAGGCAAAACUGUGAACAAGAAGCGGGCAAGAUGUGUUGAUGCAAGAUAUCUUUUGCUAUAUCGUGCAUCAUGAUCGUAUGACCCACUCUAUGCAUAUGAACCCCUAUAUUGGAUAUUCUUACAUUUUAUUGAAUCAUAUCCUUCCUU